rnacentral:lncRNA from 1 species
UUUUGGCAGGGGCCUUACAGGUGCGCGCUUCGGUCCGGGAGGCCUUAUCCUAGCCUCCUCUCCAUCAGCGCCACCCUCUGGGGCCCAACAGGAGGGAGCUUUCCCCCUGUUCCCAGCUUUGGACUGUUACCCAAGCAAGCCAUUCGUUCACAAAUAUUAUUAAGCACCUACGAUGUGCCUGGCAAGGGAGUUGUAACAGUAGAAGUUGCUGGUCCCAUCUUGCUCACAAUCCUCCAAAGUUUGAAAGUUAUUUUCCAGGAGACUUGGCUUGCACUGAGAGUUGCCCUCCCACCCCUCCUCCAAAUUUCCUCUUGGGGUUAGCCUAACAAGGUGCUGUCACAGACCCUUGCCAGCCACGAUGACCCCACCCAGACCAUCCCUCUGCUGUUUCACUCUUUGAUACUCUCUGGAGCUCUCUGGGGAGGGGUGAGACCUGCCAUCUGGUUUGUAUGGUUUGCCCAGGUCUUACAGUCAUGGCUGGCUGCCUCUCUCUGAGAACUGGGACUCCUGAACUUGGUGAAAUACCUCAGCCAUCGAUCAUGUUGAAUUAUCGGGGACACUCAUUUAAAAUCC